AACAACAACAACAAUAACAACAACAGGUAAAAGCAACAAGAACAAAGGAAGGCAGCGACAAUUUGAAAUUGUCGUUAACCUCUGAUAAGACGCAAGCUCUUAUCAGCUGGGCAGCAAAACGGUAGACGCAGGGACGGCGACGGCGACGCCGCCGGCGACACUGUUCGCGGGCCAUGGGCGAAGUGGCAGCGGCUGAAGAGCGCGCCCGUCGACUAACUAACAAUGCACCCCCUUACACGCACACGCACACACACACACACACACACACACAGAUAUGCAUAUAAACAUUUAGAAGUAUGUAAAAUGUUGGGGGCAGUCGACAAUCAAUCAAAUGUUUUGAUUUAUUUCACAAAGCGAAGCAAAGAGCUAAAAUUGUGAGUAAAUAAAUACACAAACACACACACACAAACACAUACGCGCACGCAUGUGAUGUGGGCUUGGAUUUUCAGGGGAGCAGCCGGCGUAGAGCCGGCAACGGCAACAAGCACAAAACAGAAGAAUUGGCAAAACAACAACAAAAAACGAGUGGGAACAAAACUUAAGAGAGUGAAACAAUAACAAAGCGCGCGCUGCUCGUGACUGGAGAGAGAGAGAAGAGCAACAAAAACAGCAACAGCGGCGCGGCAAUAUACAACCGGCUGUUUCGGUUUCGGUUUCGCUGAAAUUUGAAUUCCACCGUUCCAAUGCUUGUUUGUCCCACUCACGCGACGACGGGCAGUCGUUAAACGCAUUGCGAGAGUUCCUUCAAUUGAGCCACAUCGUUUGUAACACUGAUCAGCGGCAGGCUGCACAUUAAUAUAAAUAAGCUGCAUUCCAGUUGCACAUAUACAUAUGUAUGUAUGUAUGUACAUAAACACAAAUCGGUAUGUGCAUACAUCUAUUGCAAAAGUUUCACAUUUAAGUGUAUGCAAGUUUCGGUGUAACCGAAUUGGUAUGCUGGCGUUGUGAAAAAUUACAUUAACAGAGCUGUUGCAGUAGCUGCGUCGCCGUUGACUGCGAAUGGAUGUUAGCAAAUUGUCAUCUACAGUUUAUUGGAGGCUUUUUUAAGUGCCAAAUUUUUCAAACUAACAUUAACCGACUGCGAAAUGUAAUUUGUGUAAAUAUUUAUGAAUUAAACAAAUUAUUAUUAAUUUAUAACAUUUAACUUGCUUAAAAUUAAACUGUUUAAAUUGCAAUGUA